GACGAACGCUGGCGGCGUGCCUAACACAUGCAAGUCUUGGGAGAAAAAGGUAGCAAUAUCUUGAGUAAACCGGCGCAAGGGUGAGUAACACGUAGGUAAUCUGCCCAGAGGACGGGAAUAACUUCGAGAAAUCGAGGCUAAUGCCCGAUGAUAUUCCGAUGCAGCAUUGUAUUGGAAUCAAAGGCCGUAAGGCGCCUUAGGAUGAACCUGCGUCCCAUUAGGUAGUUGGUGAGGUAAUGGCCCACCAAGCCGACGAUGGGUAGCUGGUCUGAGAGGACGAUCAGCCACACUGGAACUGAGACACGGUCCAGACUCCUACGGGUGGCUG
rnacentral:rRNA from 1 species